ACGAACGCUGGCGGCGUGCUUAACACAUGCCAGUCGAACGGAAAGGCCCCUUUGGGGGUACUCGAGUGGCGAACGGGUGAGUAACACGUGAGUAACCUGCCCUUGACUUCGGGAUAACUUCAGGAAACUGGGGCUAAUACCGGAUAGGAAUCCUUGCUGCAUGGUGGGGGUUGGAAAGCUUCGGCGGUUUUGGAUGGACUCGCGGCUUAUCAGCUUGUUGGUGGGGUAGUGGCUUACCAAGGCUUUGACGGGUAGCCGGCCUGAGAGGGCGACCGGCCACAUUGGGACUGAGAUACGGCCCAGACUCCUACGGGAGGCAGCAGGGGGGAAUAUUGCACAAUGGGCGGAAGCCUGAUGCAGCAACGCCGCGUGCGGGAUGACGGCCUUCGGGUUGUAAACCGCUUUCAGCAGGGGCGAAGCUUGUGGUGACGGUACCUGCAGAAGAAGCACCGGCUAACUACGUG
rnacentral:rRNA from 1 species